rnacentral:tRNA from 1 species
AGAAGGUGGUGUAGAGGAAGCACUAAGAGUUUUGAUCUCUUUAGCAUAGGUUCAAGUCCUUUCUUUCUAA